rnacentral:rRNA from 1 species
UACGAAGGGGGCUAGCGUUGUUUCGGAAUUACUGGGCGUAAAGCGCGCGCAGGCGGUCUUCCAAGUCAGUGGUGAAAGCCCGGAGCUCAACUCCGGAACUGCCAUUGAAACUGUUAGACUUGAGGAUGAGAGAGGUGAGUGGAAUUCCCAGUGUAGAGGUGAAAUUCGUAGAUAUUGGGAGGAACACCGGUGGCGAAGGCGGCCAAUCUGGGAGGGCACUGACGGCUGAGACGGCGAAAGCCGUUGGGGAGCAA